rnacentral:rRNA from 1 species
UACGGAGGGUGCGAGCGUUGAUCGGAAUUACUGGGCGUAAAGGGCACGCAGGCGGUCUGUCAAGUCGGAUGGGAAAUCACCGGGCUCAACCCGGGAAAUGCAUUCGAAACUGGCAGACUAGAGUAUUGUAGAGGAGGGUAGAAUUCCAGGUGUAGCGGUGAAAUGCGUAGAGAUCUGGAGGAAUACCGGUAGCGAAGGCGGCCCCCUGGACAAAGACUGACGCUCAGGUGCGAAAGCGUGGGGAGCAAACAGG